UUGGUCAGAUGGUACAGAUUGAUCGCAGUGUUGCCAAUGUUGAUACUAUGAGAACUCACUCCAUUGGUAAUGUGUAUAUACAUACAUACAUAUAUUAUAUAUAUAUGUGUGUGUGUGUGUGUGUGUGUGUGUGUGUGUGUGUAUGUUUAUAUCAAA
rnacentral:sRNA from 1 species